rnacentral:rRNA from 1 species
GAUGACGGCCUUCGGGUUGUAAACCUCUUUCAGUAGGGAGAAGCGAAAGUGACGGUACCUGCAGAAGAAGCACCGGCUAACUACGUGCCAGCAGCCGCGGUAAUACGUAGGGUGCGAGCGUUAUCCGGAAUUAUUGGGCGUAAAGAGCUCGUAGGCGGUUUGUCGCGUCUGUCGUGAAAGUCCGGGGCUUAACCCCGGAUCUGCGGUGGGUACGGGCAGACUAGAGUGCAGUAGGGGAGACUGGAAUUCCUGGUGUAGCGGUGGAAUGCGCAGAUAUCAGGAGGAACACCGAUGGCGAAGGCAGGUCUCUGGGCUGUAACUGACGCUGAGGAGCGAAAGCAUGGGGAGCGAACAGGAUUAGAUACCCUGGUAGUCCAUGCCGUAAACGUUGGGCACUAGGUGUGGGGACCAUUCCACGGUUUCCGCGCCGCAGCUAACGCAUUAAGUGCCCCGCCUGGGGAGUACGGCCGCAAGGCUAAAACUCAAAGGAAUUGACGGGGGCCCGCACAAGCGGCGGAGCAUGCGGAUUAAUUCGAUGCAACGCGAAGAACCUUACCAAGGCUUGACAUGUUCUCGAUCGCCGUAGAGAUACGGUUUCCCCUUUGGGGCGGGUUCACAGGUGGUGCAUGGUUGUCGUCAGCUCGUGUCGUGAGAUGUUGGGUUAAGUCCCGCAACGAGCGCAACCCUCGUUCCAUGUUGCCAGCACGUCGUGGUGGGGACUCAUGGGAGACUGCCGGGGUCAACUCGGAGGAAGGUGAGGACGACGUCAAAUCAUCAUGCCCCUUAUGUCUUGGGCUUCACGCNUGCUACAAUGGCCGGUACAAUGGGUUGCGAUACUGUGAGGUGGAGCUAAUCCCAAAAAGCCGGUCUCAGUUCGGAUUGGGGUCUGCAACUCGACCCCAUGAAGUCGGAGUCGCUAGUAAUCGCAGAUCAGCAACGCUGCGGUGAAUACGUUCCCGGGCCUUGUACACACCGCCCGUCAAGUCACGAAAGUUGGUAACACCCGAAGCC